GGCGUCUUCUUCACUCGAUUUGGAAGUCAAAAAUGACAAACAUGUCUUGCAGAACUUGCUCUUUUUUCUUCAUGUCCCCAGGACUGGAGGGCGAACAUAUUUUCAUUGUUUUCUGAAAAAGCUUUAUGCCAGUUCUUUGGAGUGUCCACGUUCGUAUGAUAAGUUAAGGAUUGAUCCAAGAAAACCAAAAUGCCGCUUGUUGGUUACUCAUGACGACUACAGCAUGAUGAACAAACUUCACAAGGAUGAAACUUCUGUGGUGACAAUACUUAGGAAUCCAAUUGACCGUGUUUUUAGUGCC
rnacentral:misc_RNA from 1 species